AAGCCCUAUUUAAACAAGUGACUUUGCCUGAAAAAACUUAAAUCUCUAACUCAUCGAUCCAUCUUAAGACAAGAACAACAAUAACAAAGUCAACGGUGCAGUAUAGAAUUCUUGUGUGACUCUUAAUAUCAUUAAUGGAAGGAAGCUUGGAAGGUAUGCUGAUGAAAGUGAGCAUUUUCGCUAUGGUUCAAGCUCUUGUAUAUCUUAUUCU
rnacentral:lncRNA from 1 species